rnacentral:rRNA from 1 species
GACGAACGCUGGCGGCGUGCUUAACACAUGCAAGUCGAACGGAAAGGCCCUGCUUUUGUGGGGUGCUCGAGUGGCGAACGGGUGAGUAACACGUGAGUAACCUGCCCUUGACUUUGGGAUAACUUCAGGAAACUGGGGCUAAUACCGGAUAGGAGCACCUGCUGCAUGGUGGGGGUUGGAAAGUUUCGGCGGUUGGGGAUGGACUCGCGGCUUAUCAGCUUGUUGGUGGGGUAGUGGCUUACCAAGGCUUUGACGGGUAGCCGGCCUGGGAGGGUGACCGGACACAUUGGGACUGAGAUACGGCCCAGACUCCUACGGUAGGCAGCGGUGGGGAAUAUUGCACAAUGGGCGGAAGCCUGAUGCAGCACCGCCGCGUGCGGGAUGACGGCCUUCGGGUUGUAAACCGCUUUCGCCUGUGACGAAGCGUGAGUGACGGUAAUGGGUAAAGAAGCACCGGCUAACUACGUG